rnacentral:lncRNA from 1 species
UGCCCCGCCCUGUCGUGUCCGCCUCUGCACUGGGAUUCCUCCAGCCCCAGCAAGUCCCUCAGGUGGUCCCAGCCUCUGUGUCCGCCUCUGCUCUCCCAGAGCGCCUCAGGCAGAGCAGCCAGGAUGGGGACCAGGCCCGCCUUACCGGGAAUGAGCCUGUCACCUGCUCCUCCCACCCCGCAGCAGAUCAUGCAACCAGCAAGGCUCUGGUCCAAGUAGGAACGGAUGGUAAACUGGGCAGUGAUGAUGGUGGAGAUGGUGGUGGUGGUGAUGAUGAUGACAAUGAUAAUGAUGAUGGUGAUGGCAGUGGUGGUAGUGGUGAUGGUGCUGGUGGUGCUGGUGAUAUGAUGAUGGCAGUGAUGGUAGUGAUAAUAGUGAUGAUAAUGUGAUGGUAGUGAUGGUGGUGGCAGUAAUAGUGAUGGUGAUGGUGGCAGAGAGGGUGGUGACAGUGAUGUCAGUGGUAAUGGUGGUGGUGAUGGUAAUGGUGAUGGUGGUGGUGGUGAUGAUGGUGGUGAUAGUGGUAGUGAUGGUGUGGUGGAAAUGAUGGCUGUGAUCGUGAUGAUGAUGGUAGUGAUGGUUACAAUGAUAGUGGUGGUAGUGGUGGUGAUGGCAAUGAUGGUAUUGAUGGUGAUGGUGGUGGUGGUGGUAGUGAUGGUGGUGGUGGUAGAUGGUGGCAGUGAAGACGGUGGUAAUGGUAGAUGGUGGCAGUGAAGAUGGUGGUAAUGAUGGUAAUGGUGAUAGUGGUGCUGGUGGUGAUGGUGAUGGUGGUGGUGGUGGUAGUGAUGGUGAUGAUGAUGGUGAUAGUGAUGGUGGUGGUGGUGGU